rnacentral:tRNA from 3 species
UGCGGGGUGGAGCAGUCUGGUAGCUCGUUGGGCUCAUAACCCAAAGGUCGCUGGUUCAAAUCCAGCCCCCGCAACCA